rnacentral:lncRNA from 10 species
AAUAAAUUGCAUUCUGUGUGAAAUGCCUCAAGGCAGGGAUGACCAGAUGACCCAGUUGGAGACCUUAAGAAUAAAGACCGAAGUCCUUCAAAGAGGAAGAAAUUCUGCCUCUGGACUGCCUUAGGACUCAAGACUGCGGCAUCAACUCUUCCCUGGGUCUCCAUGCCACUGGCCUGCCCUGCAGAUUUUAGACUUGACAGCGAGUCCAAAUCUCAGGGAAAAAGAAACAGUAACUGGCAUAGGGAAACAAUAGGACCACAUAGAACUAAUGCCUAAAUUGCUGUGAUCUGAGGAGUGACCAAAACCCCAACGCUAAGAGGACUUCAAAGAUAACAACUUCAAAGCACCUGAGUUUUCAAACUGGAUAUAAUGUCUGGUGUGAUCUGGCAGAUUUUGAAAGGAUAACAUUCUGCCUGAGUUAUGAUAAGACUUCAUAAAGAUUUAUGUGUUUCUUGAAGUUUAUGAUUUGUAUAUUUCCUUCAUCUUUCAUUUGUUGUUAUAAAUCGCAGCUGUUAUUGUAAGUAUUUUUAAAGGAUUGUGUGUUAUAUAUUUUCCUGCUAGAGACUGUUUGGAUGCCUUCAAUCCAAGAAAUGUGUUCAGAUCUUGAAAAAUUAAUAACAGGAAGAGAUUCUUUUAGAAAAUAGAAAACAUUAAAUUAUAGCAUGUAUUGUUAGUAUCAUCAAGCAUGAGGAAAUUAUAGUUCAAUGUUAAAAAUAGCUAUAAGACUGAAUUUUAUUCUUGGUAUAAUAAGUUUAUCUGACUGAAGUGGACCUGAGAAUUAAAAAGAAAUGAGGAAAUUGAACAAACAUCCAGAAGUAAAUCUCUUAAAAUCAGAGAGGGGAAAAUCCCAAACAAGUGAACAUUGACAAAAAUAAAAUUAAAUAAUAAAAUUGCUAAAUUUAUUUGAGAAUUUGAUAUAACCUAUAUGUCAUGAGUAAUGUCAUCAAAUAUAUCUUUUAGGUUAACCUAAGGCAAAUUACUUAACUAAAUUUCUUUAAAGAUUAAACAUUUUUGGCUCAUGUUAAAAUAUCUACUUCUGAUGAUGUAAAUAAAUGGUUUAAUUUAUUCUUGUUACUUAUAAUGAAAGCCAGUACAUUUUGUUUUUGAAUCAGUAUAAAGCAUUAUGAAGCAAUCUUAAGCAUUUAGCACAAUUGUUAAAUUUCAAAAAGUUGUACUUGGAGUGAGAACAUGAAUGUAGAGAGCUGGAGAAGGAACUACAAUUAUGUCUGCUACUUUUCUGACCUGGAUUAUCUUAUACCCACAGUAUCACUAUGGGGUAAUGGGGAUAAGUAAAGUUGUUAUAAGAUUAUUCCCGUAAAAAAUUAGAAUCUUUGAAAAAAAGACAUUCCAAAAAGGGAAAAUCUUAGGAUUUGUAUGCAAUUGUCCUUUCUUACUUACAAAAAAUAAACUUAAUAUAAAAUUUUCU